UCCUAGCGGUCCAAGUCGCAGCCAACAUUAUUGGGUCUAAAAUAUCCGUAGCUUGCUAAGUAAGUUCCUUGUGAAAUCCUAUAUCUUAAGUAUGGGGCGUGCAAGGAGUACUGCUAAGCUAGAGACCGGAAGACGUAAGAAGUACGUUCGAAGUAACGGUAAAAUAGUGUUAAUCUCGGACGGACUUACAAUAGCGAAGGCAUC
rnacentral:rRNA from 1 species